GAUGAACGCUGGCGGCGUGCUUAACACAUGCAAGUCGAACGCUGAAGCUGGUGCUUGCACUGGGUGGAUGAGUGGCGAACGGGUGAGUAACACGUGAGUAACCUGCCCUUGACUUCGGGAUAAGCCCGGGAAACUGGGUCUAAUACUGGAUAUGACUUCCUACCGCAUGGUGGGGGGUGGAAAGAUGUAUCGGUUGGGGAUGGACUCGCGGCCUAUCAGUUUGUUGGUGGGGUAAUGGCCUACCAAGACGUCGACGGGUAGCCGGCCUGAGAGGGUGACCGGCCACACUGGGACUGAGACACGGCCCAGACUCCUACGGGAGGCAGCAGUGGGGAAUAUUGCACAAUGGGCGCAAGCCUGAUGCAGCGACGCCGCGUGAGGGAUGACGGCCUUCGGGUUGUAAACCUCUUUCAGUAGGGAAGCAGCCCUUUUAGGGUGACGGUACCUGCAGAAGAAGCGCCGGCUAACUACGUGCCAGCAGCCGCGGUAAUACGUAGGGCGCAAGCGUUAUCCGGAGUUAUUGGGCGUAAAGAGCUCGUAGGCGGUUUGUCGCGUCUGCUGUGAAAGCCCGGGGCUUAACUCCGGGUGUGCAGUGGGUACGGGCAGGCUAGAGUGCAGUAGGGGAGACUGGAAUUUCUGGUGUAGCGGUGGAAUGCGCAGAUAUCAGGAGGAACACCGAUGGCGAAGGCAGGUCUCUGGGCUGUUACUGACGCUGAGGAGCGAAAGCAUGGGGAGCGAACAGG
rnacentral:rRNA from 1 species